UUGCCUUUCCAUCCUGAUUUCUUAGGCUGUAAUCCUCUUGCUUUCUGCUUUGUGGGAAGCUGUAGGCUGCCCACUAGCUUUUGUCUGCUUUUAAAGCCCUUUCUCUAGCAAAGGCACAAAUCACCAACACUCUUGGACGUCUCUAGAAGGAAAAAGAAAAAAAAAAAAAAAAAACACAAUAACACAAAAAUGUUCAAUCUUUUUCUGGUGGUCCCCAUUUUCUUUUUUUCUAUGUGUAAUCUCUUUUCUUACUUAACCUUUUCAUUUUGGGGGCCUCAGGGUCUUUUUUAAUAAGAUGUGAAAGAUUGAUUCAAUCUGAAGAGAAACCAGAGUGUCUUAAGUUCCCCCUUUUUUAAGGGCUCAGUUGAAGCAUAUGGAAGUUCCCAGGCUAGGGGUUGAAUCGGAGCUGUAGCCACCGGCCUACACCAGAGCCACAGUAACGCGGGAUCCGAGCCGCGUCUGCAACCUACACCACAGCUAACGGCAACGCCGGAUCGUUAACCCACUGAGCAAGGGAAGGGAUCGAACCCGCAACCUCAUGGUUCCUAGUCGGAUUCAUUAACCACUGCGCCACGACGGGAACUCCUUACUCUGCAUCUUAUCCUGAUUCCCAACAAUCCCAGAUUGAACUAGUCUGGCAGCAAACUCUGAUGGAGCAGCGUGUCCUCCAGCCCAGGUAUAAGGAUGACAACUUAGGGAAACUUUUCUGUGACUGAAAGUUUUUGUUUUUAAAGUAAUUGUAACAGAGUGUGGCCACAAUGAUCCUUGCCUCCUGGGAUUUAUGCCCCUGGGUAUUCCCCUCCCACCCUGAACAGGGAGGAAACGAAGGUGUUUACCUUCCAAGCCAGGCUGGCCAUACCAGUUAUCCCAGCCUCUGCUUUGCUCUUUGGAUCACUCACUCUGGAGUAAUGAGGACAGUGGCAUAACCCUCUGGAAAGACAAACAAGGCAAAGAACAAGGCUUCCUGCUCCAGGUGACCCUGCAUCAGUCAUGUGAAUGAACCACUUUGCAAACAGACCCUGCAGCCCAUCAAGCAUAUAGGUGACUACAUCCUCACGAGAGAGCUGGAACGCCCUUCAAAGCUGCUUCUGGGUUCUGUUGUGGCUCAGUGGGUUAAGAACACGACUAGUAUCUACGAGGAUGUGGGUUUGAUCCCUGGCCUCACUCAGGGGGUUAAGGCAUUGCCAUGAGCUGUGGUGUAGGUCACAGAUGAGGCUCGGAUCUGGCGUUGCUGUGGCUGCGGCUGUGGCUAUGGCUGGCAGCUGUAGCUCCGAUUCAACCCCUAGCCUGGAAACUUCCAUAUGCCACAGGUGCAGCCCUAAAAAGCAAAAAAAAAANAAAAAAAAAAAAAAA
rnacentral:lncRNA from 1 species